rnacentral:rRNA from 1 species
UGAACGCUGGCGGCAGGCCCUAACAUGCAAGUCGAGCGGAAACGAGUUGUCUGAACCUUCGGGGGACGAUAACGGCGUCGAGCGGCGGACGGGUGAGUAAUGCCUGGGAAAUUGCCCUGAUGUGGGGGAUAACCAUUGGAAACGAUGGCUAAUACCGCAUAAUAGCUUCGGCUCAAAGAGGGGGACCUUCGGGACCUCUCGCGUCAGGAUAUGCCCAGGUGGGAUUAGCUAGUUGGUGAGGUAAGGGCUCACCAAGGCGACGAUCCCUAGCUGGUCUGAGAGAUGAUCAGCCACACUGGAACUGAGACACGGUCCAGACUCCUACGGGAGGCAGCAGUGGGGAAUAUUGCACAAUGGGCGCAAGCCUGAUGCAGCCAUGCCGCGUGUAUGAAGUGAAGGCCUUCGGGUUGUAAAGUACUUUCAGCAGUGAGGAAGAUGGUGUACUUAAUACGUGCAUCAUUUGACGUUAGCUGCAGAAGAAGCACCGGCUAAC